CCUGUAUAAUCUCAUAAAUACAUGUUUAGAAAUGCCAUAUUAAAUAAUUUCCACUCCCGCAACAAUUACGCGUAAAAAUAAAAGAGACUCACCAAAACGAGGCUUCAUAUGUGAAGACGUAAUCUAUCCGGUCCCUCGGUUCACCAUCCUCUCAAACUUCAUAACUCGGUCACUUCAUGUGGCGCCUAAAAUUGCACAUGAAAAGCACAUUAACCUGCGAUUCGAUAUAGCGUUCGUAGAACCUUAUAGCCACUACUGAUUACGCACUUUAUGCUUCACCCGUGAGUUACCACUACGGAUUAACUUUCGCGCGAGUCGACGAACUUUGUCCGAACUUCGAUUGUUAACCCCUUAGGCACAGUUGAAUUCGGCACGAGUCUGUUUAUUUGUACGGCCGAGGUCAACGCGAAUUACGUGCAAGGCACUAUAGUCGUGCCUAAGAGGUUAAAAUAGUCACUCGUGGACGCCACGUUAAAUAUAAAGUCGGUAGACUCGUAACGUAAACAAAGAAUGAAACUGUCAGUAUCGAAAUAUCGACAAGAAGCAGCCACGCACCUUUCGCGUCUGAACCGAAUCGAGUGAGCGGUGGGGAGCACCGAGGGAUGUCGCGCACUGUUUGCACCACGUGUCCGUUCGGAAAGUUCGCGGGAUAAGGGGUGAACAGGCCACGUUGGUGUUACAGUUACCUGCCGCAUUGACCAUCCGCAGAUAGCGUUAUCAAACAUUCACAAGGUAUACGUGUUACACAUGCGACUGGAGGACUGUUACUCUUCCUUGUAUAGAUUUGCUACGUAUACGAUACAUUAGCUUCGUUCCUUUAAUAAGAAUGUUAUUUCUAUCCUUUUUUUUUUUUAGAUCACCGACGAUCGCUGAACAAUAAUUGCAGAAAAUACAUAUUGUCAUGUGUAUGUGCAAUUUUUAUAUUGUACAUGGAAGAAAGUGAACUCUAUUAUCUGUUUGUAUAAAUUAUUGUACUUGACUGGUAAAAUAUAUUUUGUGCAGCCAA